rnacentral:rRNA from 1 species
AAUUGGAUUGGGAGGACUCUACGGAGUCUGAGUGAUGAAGUGUAGUGCCAAGAAAAGCCGUAUAUGUGUUGAAUACCUAGUACCCGUACCCUAAACCGACACAGGUGGGUAGGUUGAGUAUACUAAGGGGCGCGAGAUAACUCUCUCUAAGGAACUCGGCAAAAUGGCCCCGUAACUUCGGGAGAAGGGGUGCCAUCGCAAGAUGGCCGCAGUGAAAUGAUCCAAGCGACUGUUUACCAAAAACACAGGUCUCUGCAAAGUCGAAAGACGACGUAUAGGGGCUGACGCCUGCCCAGUGCCGGAAGGUUAAGGAAGUUGGUCAGCGAAAGUGAAGCUAACGACUGAAGCCCCGGUGAACGGCGGCCGUAACUAUAACGGUCCUAAGGUAGCGAAAUUCCUUGUCGGGUAAGUUCCGACCCGCACGAAAGGCGUAACGAUUUGGAUGCUGUCUCGGAGAGAGACUCGGCGAAAUAGGAUUGUCUGUGAAGAUACGGACUACUUGCACCCGGACAGAAAGACCCUAUGAAGCUUUACUAUAACUUGGAAUUGGGUUCGGGCUUCUCUUGCGCAGGAUAGGUGGGAGACUUUGAUAUUGUCCUUGUGGGGACAAUGGAGUCAACGGUGAGAUACCACUCUGGAGAGGCUAGAAUUCUAACC